CUUGAUUGGAUCAGCACCAAAGCUGCAAAGCAUUUGCUGGGCUCCAGGUGUGUUGCAAAAGGUUCUCCCCUGGCAUGACCCACAUAUUAUGAGUGGCCAUGCAACUGAAUGACCAGAUCAUGCAUUCUUCUGGGACAGCAUUCCAGAAGAGCUUGCAAAGGCUUAAUGCUUCCUUUUUGCAUCUGGGAUGAGACUGUCGCUGCAUUAUUUAGUCUUCAAACAAAUUCAAGUGUUCGCCCCUGUCUGCAUAAAGGAGACAAAGAACUUCACGAGUUGAGCUGCUGAAAGAGUACAGAACACCUUGGAGCGUCAAAGACCUGGAAUCAUCUGUGAGAGUAUGACCAUCAUCUGAGAAAAGUUAUUUAUUUGUAACUGAAGGUUGAGCUAUUUGGUCUAUGCAUUUAUUUGCUUUAUACAUGUACAAGCAUGAAGGUAGGUGGUCAAGCUGGAGACAUUUCAGCACUACUGCUAAAGCUGAAAAAGUCUUAUUGAUGCCUUCUCUAAAAUCUUCUUACUCCCUUCACCUCAUGGUGUAUAAACCUCAUUUAGUAUAAAACACAUUUUUAAAAAAGUAUGUCACAUGCCUUUAAUUUAAAUCAAAGAGCUUAAAAUUAUUGAAGUGGGACUGCAAAGUACCAGUGUGGGGGAGGAGGUUGUUACAUUUUGUCAUACAGACUAAAGGGAAAAAUCAAGCUUUCAAUUCCUUACCUUAACAUACAAGUCCUACAUAUGUAAUAACACUUCUACCAAACUAAGAAACAUUAAACAUUAUAUAAUCUAUCUUAUUCAUUGCUUGAGCAUCCUUGGACACAAUACUACUGAAAUAAAUAAAAGUAGAAGUAGCAAACUGCAGUAGCAACAAAUGCUAAAAUGGACUCAAAAAAAUCAUUAGAAUAACAUGGAAUUAAAUCUUUUAGUUGUCUGUUACUUACCUCAAGGUUUCUUUCAGAACAGCUCUAAUCAAAGGCAAUUUUGGGACAUCACGAGCCACUGGAACUUGAUCUUUUCUCAGUUUAUUGACUAUUUCCUCAUAAACACGUUGCUGCACCUCUGGGUGCUUUGCCAACAAGUAUAUGGCCCAGGACAAAGUGAAAGAAGUCUAAAGAAAAACCACAAUCAUCAAGCCCAACAGGAUUACAUGAAUAAUAAUUUUAAGCCAAGAAAAACAAUCAGCUUUCAACUAUGUGUUUUAUAUGUUUAAAGUUAUGAAACAGGCUGGCAAUGAUUCACAUCUGGAUUCAAUGGGAGGUUGCCAGACGUUGCCAUCCCCUCCUUCAUCCGUUUUCCAUCUAGAAGUCCACCGCAUACCAAAAUAAUCCCUGCUGAUAUUUUCCCAGUGAAAUAUAAAAAGCAACAGACAAACCAAA